rnacentral:lncRNA from 1 species
UUUGUGUGUUUUUUUCUUGCAGAAAAUGUGUAUAUGGAUAUGUAAAUAACAAGUUGUAUAUAUAUGCAGAAAAGGUGUUUUUUUUCUGAGUUUUUUUACUGAAAAAUGUUGUUGUGAAUAAAAAAAUUUAACCUAAUGAUUCAUAUCAAUAAUCUUUGCAUUAGAAGAAAAACGAUGAGAUUGAGAAAGAAAGAAUACACACCAACACAACUUGAAUCAAACACACACCAACACUUCCUAGAAUAGUGUUUUUUUUUUCUGAAAUUUGGCUUCUUUUUUUACUAAAAU